AACACACCGGCGUAGCCUGAAGCUGGCAGUUAGCGCGCGCGCGCGUACACACACACACACACACACACACACACACACACACACACACGCCAGUGCUUUCCACUCAAGUCUGGCGGCGUUAGCAACCGCAGUCCGGGCUUCUUCAGCUGAAGUACAAGCAGCCACUAGCUGAUUUGCCGGAGGAGCGCAGGAGCGCAGUUCCCGAAGCAUCCUAUAAGCGCAGCUGUCACAGCCAGUGGCAGACAGCCACCUCUUCCCAGCUGCUUUCCCCAGCCCUAGCAAGAGGGCACCCUCUUCCAAAAGCGAGUCUACCUGGGGAGGAGGUGGCUCCGUGCUGAAGGUAGCUUCCUCCAGUCAAGAAAAAUAGAAUCAACUCCUGCAUGUAGCAGUGGAAUAUCUGGAUACAAAUCAUUCUUUAGGAGAAGGUUGGCUAUGAAGGCAGAGUGGGACCUUCUUCACUGCAGUCCUCCUACAACUUGGACCAGAGGAUUCCAUCUUCGCUGUUACAGUAUCCAUCUCCACAAGCUACUCUGCCUUAAGUACUGCAUGCCAUCACCUCCCUGCUGGUUUGCUCCUUCUGGUACUACCUAAUUCACAUUCAAGGAGCAGAAGUACAUGGGAAGUAGAGAAAACAGAAAUUAGAAAGCUAGAAGCUGUUUUGAAAAAUGCUUUCAGACUUUACAAAACAUAUAUGAAAAGAGAAUUUAUAUUUCCCCAUAUUUGGCUGGAUAUUUAUAUGACAAUUCCAAUAACCAGAUACAAAAUCAAAAUUAAAACUAAGGUACAUUUACCCAUAAAGAAAAUAUAAUGCCAC
rnacentral:lncRNA from 1 species